UACGUAGGUGGCAAGCGUUAUCCGGAUUUAUUGGGCGUAAAGGGAACGCAGGCGGUCUUUUAAGUCUGAUGUGAAAGCCUUCGGCUUAACCGGAGUAGUGCAUUGGAAACUGGGAGACUUGAGUGCAGAAGAGGAGAGUGGAACUCCAUUUGUAGCGGUGAAAUGCGUAGAUAUAUGGAAGAACACCAGUGGCGAAAGCGGCUCUCUGGUCUGUAACUGACGCUGAGGUUCGAAAGCGUGGGUAGCAAACAGG
rnacentral:rRNA from 1 species